rnacentral:misc_RNA from 1 species
GCUGCUGAGGAUAAGGGAGCUACCUGCUUGAAGUUAUCAGGUAUAAUUUAUACCCUGACUAUAAAUAUUCAUUUUGAUGUAUUUAUUGCACGUAAUUGUAUGGACAUGUAAAAUCGGUCUUGAGCAGCUUGUACAAAGUUUGUAUAAAGUUGUAAUAAAUUUUAUUUUGGAUUUUCUUAAUGUAAGUUUCUAAUAUGAUGUAUAUAUAAAUUAUUUUGUCAUUAAUGAAAUAUGAUUGGUAG